rnacentral:lncRNA from 1 species
CCUCAGAACCUGACAUUGAUGACCUCUCGAACCCGGAACAGUCUACGAAAUUCGGAUUAAGGCUAAGAAUGAAUACGGCAGCAGCAACUACACCUCCACCAUUGUAACCACUGGACACACAGACCCUACCAACAUCACGAUAAUCGCAGGUGUUACGGCAGCAGUUGUAGUUGUUGUUAUAGUUCUCACUGUCGUCGUCGUCGUAGAAGAAAUGGAGGAACAAACAGAAAGGUCAAGGUACCCUCGACGGCGGAUCAAGGGGAAGAGGAUGAAGGCCGAGUGGUAGAAGACAACGACCUGUAUGAGACGUCGGCUGACCUGAACAUCAACCCUGCAGGAACAGGAGCAGGGUCUCAAACAACGACGUUUAUGCUGUUGUCAGCAAGCCGCCAAGCCAAGAAAAACGAUCCAGCAGAGGACCUGUAUGCGAUGCCUCAAAAGGAGAAAAAGAAGAAAACAGAGGAAAACUAGGAAGAAGUUGGAAGAUCAAACGGAAGAUAUCUAUGCUCAGCCUGAGAAGAAGAAAGGAAAGACUAAGGGAAAGAGCAAGGAAAGAGGGUCUUGGUGCUGAGCACUCUGGAGGAGGAGCCGGUGAUGAAAAGAAAGAGGGACAGAAAACCGGAAUUGAUGAGGAUGGCUUUGCUGUACGUCAGUGUCGAUUUCAGCGGGCUGCCUCCCACAUCCGACACCAUCAAACGGUCGGAAGAGGAAACUGAAUAUGUUGGUAUUGACUUUGCAGCCUCUGCAGUCAAGAAAUAGUAACGUCCCUUAGAAGAGACGAAUAUUGGAGCAUUCCAUCGUCAUGUAUUGCAAACCCAUUGGUUUCAAUGUUUGUUAAACCUCAAGGCUUUUUAUUUGAUUAUGUUUUUUUCUUUGUUAUAUUAUUGGUUUAUGACAGAUCACUUCUGAUUUCCAUUUUAUUGUUUUGAAAAAAUCUGCAAUGUUAAGACAGCUUUAUUGUUUAUAUUCAAUACAGACCUUUUCUUGGUUUGUCCGCUUCUUUCCAAUUUAUUGUUUAUCACUUUUUGUGCUCCAGUAUUUGUAUGUGUUUCAUAAACUUCUGAUAUUACAUAUUUUAAUAUAUUCUCUGAUAUAAGAUUUCUUAAUGAUCAUUGUGAAGCAGCGCAUUCUUCUGUUUUACGUUCAGUGAAUCAGACAUUGGUGUGAUUUUGUUGAACUCGGGCAUGUCCUCUCUACGUUACAAUAUUAACGCUCUCCACCAACAUCAUGAGUAUAAAGAAUGCCAUAACGAUUAUAACAUAUCAGUAAACUCACUCACUUGUGUAAGUGAUGUCUAAAUUUGAUAAUUGUCACUCUGUGUAUAACAUACCGAUUGUAAAUGAAUGUUCCCUUAUAUUCAUUUCUCAUUGUAUGAACUGUUUGAAAUGAGAAUUGUAAGCCAUGUUGUCAAAAUUUGUUUUAAUUAUUCUGUCCAUGGUCGUUUCAUAAUUAGAACAAUUUGUUUUUGAUAUAACGUUCUAAAGUGCAAAUGCCUUGGUCGGAAGAGGAGUGAGUGAGUGAAUUAAAAUUUAAAGUCACAUCGGCAGUAUUUCAGCCAUAUCGUGACGUCGGAACAGUACACACAAUAUGAUGGUAUUACCUUUGCAGCCAAUGCAGUCAAGAAAGAGUAACGUCCCCUGACAAGAGACGAAUACGGGAACAUUCUUUCGUCGUGUACUGUAAACCCGUCGGUUUCAAUGUUUGUUACAGAGCUUUAGGCUUUUCUAUUUGAUUAUGUUUUUCUUUUGUUAUAUUAUUGGUUUAUGACAGAUCACUUUUUCUGAUUUCCAUUUUAGUGUUUUGCGAAAAGUCUCCAAUGUUAAGAGAGAUUUAUUGUUUAUAUUCAAUACAUACAUGUUUCUUGGUUUGUCCGCUUCUUUCCAAUUUAUUGUUUAUUGCUCUUUGUGCUGCAGUAUUUUUAUGUUUUUCAUAAACGUUCAUACUAAAUAUUUUCCUAUGUUCUCUGAUGUAAGAUUACAUUGAUCAUUGUGAAGCAACGCAUUUUCAUAUUUCAUGUUGAGUGAAUCUAACGUUGGUGUGAUUGUGUUGAACUCAGGCAUGUCCUUUCCACGUUACAAUAUUAACGCUCUUUACCAACAUCUUGAGUAUAAAGAAAGCAAUAACGAUUAUAACAUAUCGGUAAACUCACUCACUUGUAUAAGUGAUCAAUCAAUUUGUUAAUUGUGACUCUGUUCAUCAUGUGUGUAUAAGAUGCCAUAAGAUGAAGUUUCCAUAUAUUCAUAUCAUUGUAUGAACUGUUUGAAACUGAUAUGUAAACCAAAUAAUAAUAAUAAUAGCAUGCUUGUAAUGCGCUGUUUUCCAUGUACAACAUGUUUAAAGCGCAAGACAUAGAGGUAUAUACAAAACAGACACUAAGAGAGAAUAUAAUAUUAGAGAUACAUGGAAACAAUUCAAUGAAUUAUCGUUUGCACUCGUAAGCUAAUCGGAAGAAGUGAGUCUUUAGUAAGGAUUUAAAAUGAGAAAGUUCUGUACAGUCAGGUAGAUAUUGAGGUAGUUGAUUCCAGGUUGUAGAGGCUGCAUAAGAACAGGACCUUUCACCUUUCAAGUAGAAGUCGAAAUCAUCGACAUUUUAUUGUUCUAUCCAUGGUUGUUUCAAAAUUAGAGUAAAUUGUUCUUGAUAUAAAGUUUGCACUAUGUCCUCUCAAGGGCACUAAGACUAAUGUGCAUAUGUGCUCAAACGAUUACCACUCCUGUCUGGACUUAACCACUAUGUGUAAGGUCACAGCUCACAGGUCCCAUCGUGACCACUUCAUUCGCAUGCAUUUAGAAGCACAUGUAUUGGACCUCAAUGGUGCCUGGUUGUCACAUAGCUGGCUGUUAUCUGAGCUAUGUACAUGCACAUAUGAAAGUACCCUUACAUUGGAAGGUUUACUAUUUUAAAUUACUAUGUAAUUGUAUAUAGUGCAAAUUGUUUAGACAUUUCACGCAACUGUUACAUAUUUGUAAAUUUGUGGCUGUUAAUUUUUUCAAUUUAUUCAUACAUCAUUUGUAUAAAAUUGUUGAACAUUUUCUGACUUUUAUAAACAGCGUUUGUUUAUUAUAUGUUUCUUAACCUCAUCAACAAAACUCUUCAACUCAAAACCAAGGCUAAUAAACGGCAUUGUACUUAUGAACUGUAAUGCCCAAAGUCGCUAAAAAUAAAUGUUGUUGAUGCUGA